GACGAACGCUGGCGGCGUGCUUAACACAUGCAAGUCGAACGGAAAGGCCCUGCUUUUGUGGGGUGCUCGAGUGGCGAACGGGUGAGUAACACGUGAGUAACCUGCCCUUGACUUUGGGAUAACUUCAGGAAACUGGGGCUAAUACCGGAUAGGAGCUCCUGCUGCAUGGUGGGGGUUGGAAAGUUUCGGCGGUUGGGGAUGGACUCGCGGCUUAUCAGCUUGUUGGUGGGGUAGUGGCUUACCAAGGCUUUGACGGGUAGCCGGCCUGAGAGGGUGACCGGCCACAUUGGGACUGAGAUACGGCCCUGACUCCUACGGGAGGCAGCAGUGGGGAAUAUUGCACAAUGGGCGGAAGCCUGAUGCAGCAACGCCGCGUGCGGGAUGACGGCCUUCGGGUUGUAAACCGCUUUCGCCUGUGACGAAGCGUGAGUGACGGUAAUGGGUAAAGAAGCACCGGCUAACUACGUG
rnacentral:rRNA from 1 species